rnacentral:rRNA from 1 species
UGGGGAAUUUUGGACAAUGGGCGAAAGCCUGAUCCAGCAAUGCCGCGUGUGUGAAGAAGGCCUUCGGGUUGUAAAGCACUUUUGUCCGGAAAGAAAUCCUUGGCUCUAAUACAGUCGGGGGAUGACGGUACCGGAAGAAUAAGCACCGGCUAACUACGUGCCAGCAGCCGCGGUAAUACGUAGGGUGCAAGCGUUAAUCGGAAUUACUGGGCGUAAAGCGUGCGCAGGCGGUUUGCUAAGACCGAUGUGAAAUCCCCGGGCUCAACCUGGGAACUGCAUUGGUGACUGGCAGGCUAGAGUAUGGCAGAGGGGGGUAGAAUUCCACGUGUAGCAGUGAAAUGCGUAGAGAUGUGGAGGAAUACCGAUGGCGAAGGCAGCCCCCUGGGCCAAUACUGACGCUCAUGCACGAAAGCGUGGGGGAGCAAACAGGAUUAGAUACCCCUGGUAGUCCACGCCCUAAACGAUGUCAACUAGUUGUUGGGGAUUCAUUUCCUUAGUAACGUAGCUAACGCGUGAAGUUGACCGCCUGGGGAGUACGGUCGCAAGAUUAAAACUUAAAUGAAUUGACGGGGUCAUAGCU